GUCACUGAAACCCGCGGGCCGCAGGGCAGGAUUUCCAGACUGCCGAAGCACCUGGAGGGCUCUGGGGGACCCGCCCCGCUUCGGUCUUCGUGCAAGGGACUCCUGCAGUCUUGCCCGCUCUGAGGGCUCCUCACCUCGGGAUCUGCCCCACUCUGGGCAGAUGCUCAAAAGGGACAGUUAGCGCCUGGGGACAGGACCCCUUUCAUAGGCUUGUCAGUGUGACCUUUGGUAACUGGGCUGUGCAGGCGUUUUGGCAACGCAGACCGCCCUUUCUGGCCGAGGAAGAUUUUAGCAAGUUAUGCUGGAAAGAGGGGACUGGACUGCCUGUCCAUGCCUCAGAACUCAAACAGGCUUGUUCUGAACAUUCUUGCCGUCUUUACGGGUGAAAUGGAGUUUGUCAUCUUGCAAGUUGGGUUUGGCUUUCUGUGUGACCUUUGUAGUUGAAGGAGUCAGGCUCCUUGGAGCCUUUUUCCCCACGUGGCCUCAGCCUUGGCCUGCAAAGGCUUGAGCAAACACUGCAGUUUCUAGCCGCUGAAGGCCACAUUCCUAGAACAGGCCUCCCCACCCUUCAAGCGCCCUCUGGGGAUCGCUUCAAGCUGCCUAAAGCUGCCGAGAGAAUUUGCCGUUUGUUCCAGCAACACCUGAACUCAGGGCUCCUUCUCCCAGCCUCUACGGAGGCUCUCUGGGAGCCUAACUUCUCAAGGCGCUUUAGUGAUGCCUGGAGCCCUGGACUAGGGGAAGCACCACUGGAGCCAGGAGAGUGAUCCACGCGGCAGAGUAAGGAACAAAGCAAGAGGUGGAAGUGCGAUCAAACACCAGAUAUGUAUGACCUGGGUAUGACAUCUGUGUGAAUCGCAAGAGGCGGGAGCUUGCCGCAGCCUUGACCUCCUGGGCUCAAGCGAGCCUCCCACCUCAGCCUCCCGGGGAGCUGAGGCCACAGACCUGCGCCACCGUGACCGGCUAAAGUCUGUCUUUCAAGCACUUGUCAAGGACUGCACCAGACACUCGACGGUGGGUGCUGUUGGUUCUUGGCCAGGGGGAUGACUCGGGGAGGUAAAGCAUUGUCGGUGUGCCUGCUGCAUCUAACCCACUGUGGUCGGGAGCACAGCGGCCCGUGAAAACGCCCUCGGCCCCGUCUCCUGGCUUGAUGCUGAGUGUUGCCUGGCUUUGCGAACACACCUCCCUUCAGGAGAGUCCUGAGCACUUGCCACCCACACUCCCCACUGGCAGGACUCCGAGAGGAUGGUGACCCAGCUCCUCUCAGCCGUUGACCACGCCGGCCCCAGCCACCACUUCCUGGACGCUACUCCCCCCUCCAGACCUACAGUGACCCCGGGGGUUCCAGCUCUCAGAUGCAAUGGAUGCUCGCCUUAUUGCUUUGCCCUCUUAUCUGAUUUCCCAGCAUUUGAUACUGAUUUGAUCGUGUUCUCUUCUCCCUCCCCUGACUUCCCCUCUACCUGUUUCUGCCUUCUGUGUCCUCACCUUCUGAUCCUCUCUUCACGGUGGUUGUCCCAAGUUCCAUCUUUCCAUCUCCCGCCCACUUCCCUGCCCACCUGUCACCCUCUCUGCGUAGCCCUCUCCAAGCCUGUGACCUCAACCAACAGAUAUUUCGGUGACGCUCAACUCUUCACAUCCAGCCCGGAGCUCUCUCCCGGUCCCUGUCUGAAUCUCCUUGGACUCCCCCAGCUGCCUCUCAUUCCACCCUCUCCUCCCUGUCCCAGUGAAUGUCACCACCACCUGCUGAUUGCCUAGGUCCGAAGACUGGAAGGUUUCCAGGUGCCUCCCUCUUGCUCACCCUGAAAUGCAAUUAGUCACGAAUUCUGCUUUCUCAGUAUGUUUUCCCAUUCCAGCUCCCCAGCUUUGCUCAGCCUCUCGCCGUUGGUUGUUGGGAUGACUGACACUGCCUUCCAACCGGUUCCUCAGCCUCUAGCCUGGCCUCCUUCCAAUUCAUCGUCUGCCCUGCUGCCAGGACUAACCCUUUAAAACGCACAUCAGGAUUGCCUGAACCCGCGGGUUCGAGACCCGCCUGGGCAGCGAGACCUCAUCUCUACAAUAAAUCAAAA